UACGAAGGGGGCUAGCGUUGCUCGGAAUCACUGGGCGUAAAGGGUGCGUAGGCGGGUCUUUAGGUCAGGGGUGAAAUCCUGGAGCUCAACUCCAGAACUGCCUUUGAUACUGAAGAUCUUGAGUAUGGGAGAGGUGAGUGGAACUGCGAGUGUAGAGGUGAAAUUCGUAGAUAUUCGCAAGAACACCAGUGGCGAAGGCGGCUCACUGGCCCAUUACUGACGCUGAGGCACGAAAGCGUGGGGAGCGAACAGG
rnacentral:rRNA from 1 species